rnacentral:rRNA from 1 species
GACGAACGCUGGCGGCGUGCUUAACACAUGCAAGUCGAACGGAAAGGCCCUGCUUUUGUGGGGUGCUCGAGUGGCGAACGGGUGCGUAACACGUGAGUAACCUGCCCUUGACUUUGGGAUCACUUCAGGAAACUGGGGCUAAUACCGGAUAGGAGCUCCUGCUGCAUGGUGGGGGUUGGAAAGUUUCGGCGGUUGGCGAUGGACUCGCGGCUUAUCAGCUUGUUGGUGGGGUAGUGGCUUACCAAGGCUUUGACGGGUAGCCGGCCUGAGAGGGUGACCGGCCACAUUGGGACUGAGAUACGGCCCAGACUCCUACGGGAGGCAGCAGUGGGGAAUAUUGCACAAUGGGCGGAAGCCUGAUGCAGCAACGCCGCGUGCGGGAUGACGGCCUUCGGGUUGUAAACCGCUUUCGCCUGUGACGAAGCGUGAGUGACGGUAAUGGGUAAAGAAGCACCGGCUAACUACGUG